AAUAAUAAUAAUUUCCUUCAUCCAAACGCAGCCUUUUGGAGUCAAGAGAGAGUCUUCUCAAAUAGAAAAUUGCCACGUCACCAAAAGCCCAGCUGUAAACUUCCUAUUGGCCAGAACCGUGUCACCGAACGCCUACACCUCCAUUCUCAUAAACUCAGUUCCUCUCCUUCUUUAGUCUCUGAACCAAACUGGACGACGCAGAGAGUUCACAGAUCCAUAGAAACAAACAACACUUAUUCUUAUAAAUCCUCUCACCGUGGCUCCCUCAGCUCCACAAGCCCCUUCUCGAAGGAAACCCUCUUCUUCUUCUCCUUCUUCUUCUCACUUCUAUCAGCCUCGCUAUUAGUUCUGCCAUCAUCAAUGGUUGGAGCCUCCUCAGCCUCUUUGUCUUUCUUCUUCU
rnacentral:misc_RNA from 1 species